AUCUCACAAACACUCACAAGUGAUAUAGGGCUUGAAAGAAAGUCUAGGUUUGGGUUUGGGUUAACUGCUUUAAUAAGGAGAGUCAGCUACUUGGAUUAACAAGAGUGAUCAAAAUGAAUAAGAAAAUCCAAGUAUUUU
rnacentral:sRNA from 1 species